rnacentral:lncRNA from 1 species
GUCAUGCUUGAUGUUGUAAAAACUAUUCAGGAAAACAUUCAUGAUCUCAUUCCACCUGAAGCCAGUGCCUCUGUAAUGUGUAGCAGAAUCCUAUGGAGAAGUUGUAAAAACACAAAAUGUUGGCCCCACCCCAAGAGUUUCUGAUUUUGCAGGUCUGGAGAGGGCCUGUGAUACGUACUUCUAACAAGCUCCCAGGCGAUGCUAAUGUUGCUGGUCUAGAAACACACUUUGAGAGCCACUGUUUUACAAUGUAUUCACCCAGCUUAUGCAAUCAACUACUAUCACAGCAAAGUCCAAAGAAUGCUCCUUAUUUGUUUGUUAUACUGGAGUUUGGCUUGGCUAAAUAUUAUUUGAAACUGAAUGGCUGUUGAUUGUGGCUCAGAAACUGUUUUCUUCAUAGCGCUGCAAUUGGAUUUAUUUAUUAGAAUUUGAGCUGAAUGUUGUCGUACAUUUUGGUUACAUUGGUUUCUCAGGAUAUUUUAUAGGUACAUGUUGUCUCUUUCUAAGUGCACUGUCACUUGAGGUGGGCCUGGGCCUUUUGUUCCUGUUUGUCCUUACUCUUCCACGGAGCUAGCAGUCUCCAGCACAGGGGUGAUCAGUUCUUAAUCACUGAAGACUAAUUAAUCUUUCAGUAUACAUGCUAUUUUAGUGAGUAAUUUUUGCCAGAAAUACUAGUGCUGAUGUAAAAUAAGGGUUAGGAUUAGGGAAGGAUUUGGCCUGAAUAAUUCAAUUUAUAUGUAUAAGUCAGGGUUCUCUAGAGAAAUAGAAUCAAUAGGGUGUGUGUGUGUGUGUGUGUGUGUGUGGUGGUGGUGGCAGUGCAGGGACAGAGACAGAGAGACAGGGAGGGAGAGAGAGAGAGGGACAGAAAGAGAGAGAGAGAUUUAUGAGAAGGAAUUGGCUCACACAAUCACGGAGGCUGAGAAGUCCCUAGGAUCUGCAGUCAGCUAGCUGGAGACCAAGGAGAGCUGAUGGUAUUGUUCCAGUCCAAGUCCAAAACCCUGAGAACCAGGAGAGAUGAUAGUGCAAGUUUCAGUCCAAAAGAUGCCAAAUUCAAGAUCCAAGAAGAACUGAUGUUUCAGUUUGCGUCUAAAGGCAGGAAAAGACCGAUGUCUCAGCUCAAGUAUCAGGCAGAAGGAGUGCCCUCUUAAAAAGAAUCAGCCUUUUUGUUCUAUUCAGGCCUUCAACUCAUUGGAUGAGGGCCACAUGCAUUAGGGAAGGCAAUCUGCUUUCCGCAGUCUGUGCAUUCAUAUGUUAAUCUCAUCCAAAAACACCCUUACAGACACACCCAGAAUUAUGCUUGACCUAAUACCUGGGCACUCCACAUCCCAGUCAAGUUGACACAAAAUUAACCAUCACACUAUAUAUGUAUAAUCAUUAGUUAAAUGGAAAUUGGUUCACUGUCCAAAUUCCUCUACCUUUUGCCUCAAUGAAAAAAAAAAUGGUUGCCUGUUCACUCUGAUGGUAGUUUCUUUUGCUGUGUG